AGAGUUUGAUCCUGGCUCAGGAUGAACGCCGGCGGUGUGCCUAAUACAUGCAAGUCGUACGCACUGGCCCAACUGAUUGAUGGUGCUUGCACCUGAUUGACGUUGGAUCACCAGUGAGUGGCGGACGGGUGAGUAACACGUAGGUAACCUGCCCCGGAGCGGGGGAUAACAUUUGGAAACAGAUGCUAAUACCGCAUAACAACAAAAGCCACAUGGCUUUUGUUUGAAAGAUGGCUUUGGCUAUCACUCUGGGAUGGACCUGCGGCGCAUUAGCUAGUUGGUAAGGUAACGGCUUACCAAGGCGAUGAUGCAUAGCCGAGUUGAGAGACUGAUCGGCCACAAUGGAACUGAGACACGGUCCAUACUCCUACGGGAGGCAGCAGUAGGGAAUCUUCCACAAUGGGCGCAAGCCUGAUGGAGCAACACCGCGUGAGUGAAGAAGGGUUUCGGCUCGUAAAGCUCUGUUGUUGGAGAAGAACGUGCGUGAGAGUAACUGUUCACGCAGUGACGGUAUCCAACCAGAAAGUCACGGCUAACUACGUGCCAGCAGCCGCGGUAAUACGUAGGUGGCAAGCGUUAUCCGGAUUUUAUUGGGCGUAAAGCGAGCGCAGGCGGUUGCUUAGGUCUGAUGUGAAAGCCUUCGGCUUAACCGAAGAAGUGCAUCGGUAACCGGGCGACUUGAGUGCAGAAGAGGACAGUGGAACUCCAUGUGUAGCGGUGGAAUGCGUAGAUAUAUGGAAGAACACCAGUGGCGAAGGCGGCUGUCUGGUCUGCAACUGACGCUGAGGCUCGAAAGCAUGGGUAGCGAACAGAGAUUAGAUACCCUGGUAGUCCAUACCGUAAACGAU
rnacentral:rRNA from 1 species